GUUGCAUGUCAGUUUUGGCCCUCAGGAUCAUCUCAAUUACUUUAGUGGUUUUAUGUAGGUUUAGCAAACCUUUGUUUAAAAGGCAAUUCUAAUGAGGUAUAAGAAGAACCCAAGGUAUCUCCUCUUUGUAAUCCAUUUUCUCUCAUUUCCAGAAAGAUAAAAAGAUGUGAGAAGAUAUAUCUUUAGCUCAUAACAGGCUCACAGACUGCCUGUGUCCAGGAGUGGGAGGGCUUUGAGAAACAUUACACUAAAUCUGACAGAGUCUUGUUCACUUUGUUAUGAGCCUGAAAGGAAUGGUUGGCGAAGCAGUCUGAAGUCUACAGCAUCUCCCAGGCUGAUACUGGACUCAUUACAGUUCAUGAAAUGCUCACAGAUUAUGAAUACAGAGACAGUUGUUGAAGAUGAUCAAAAGCACAGAACAGUUUCUAGAUAAAGGGAGUGUGAAGAGAGAAACCACAGAUAUCACAGUUGAGAGUAGAACAGAGAAGCUAAUGGCAGAAGAUCAGACCUGAGGGCAGUUUGGAAACAACAGUGCUCUUCCCAGAGAACUGGAAGUUUUGAGGCCAGUAAGAAAAAAAGAAAUGUCAGGACAGGAAGGAGUUCAGAGAAUUGCAAUAAUUUUGUGAAAGAUUAAUCCAGGGACAUUUCAAAUGUGGGGAAUAACCAUGAAAUUCCUGAGAGUAGUAAAAUGCUAACGUUCACAACAAACUUAUGUUUAAAGAGUGUAUAAGUGGCACCAUAAUUUCUGCACAUGGAAAAAUACUGAUAAGCUAUUUAAGGUACCUAAGAUUUCAGAAAUUAUCACAAAGAUAGGUAGCAUGUAAGGACAAUAAAAUUCACUUAUUUCUUUAUGAAGUAAAACCC
rnacentral:lncRNA from 1 species